rnacentral:rRNA from 1 species
UACAGAGGGGGCAAGCGUUGUUCGGAAUUACUGGGCGUAAAGGGCGCGUAGGCGGCCUGUUAAGUCGGACGUGAAAUCCCCGGGCUCAACCCGGGAACUGCGUCCGAUACUGGCAGGCUUGAAUCCGGGAGAGGGAUGUGGAAUUCCAGGUGUAGCGGUGAAAUGCGUAGAUAUCGGAAGGAACACCUGUGGCGAAAGCGGCUCACUGGACCAUUACUGACGCUGAGGCACGAAAGCUAGGGGAGCAAACAGG